UACGUAGGGGGCUAGCGUUGUCCGGAAUCAUUGGGCGUAAAGAGCGUGUAGGCGGUCCGGUAAGUCCGCUGUGAAAGUCCAGGGCUCAACCCUGGAAGGCCGGUGGAAACUGUCGGGCUAGAGUCCGGAAGAGGCGAGUGGAAUUCCCGGUGUAGCGGCGAAAUGCGCAGAUAUCGGGAGGAACACCAAUGGCGAAGGCAGCUCGCUGGGACGGUACUGACGCUGAGACGCGAAAGCGUGGGGAGCAAACAGG
rnacentral:rRNA from 1 species